UACGGGGGGGGGCAAGCGUUGUUCGGAAUUACUGGGCGUAAAGGGCUCGUAGGUGGCCAACUAAGUCGGACGUGAAAUCCCUCGGCUUAACCGGGGAACUGCGUCCGAUACUGGUUGGGCUUGAGUUUGGGAGAGGGAUGCGGAAUUCCAGGUGUAGCGGUGGAAUGCGCAGAUAUCAGGAAGAACACCGGUGGCGAAGGCGGCUCUCGUGGGC
rnacentral:rRNA from 1 species